UUGCUAUGGUGACGCUUCGGUACACGGCCGCAGGACUCGGAGCGAAGCAGCAUCACGUUGGUUCAUCUCAUCUCUGAUCUCAAACAGCUGUCGUCAUGGCAGCAGGAGCGGUGGCGGCUCCGCUCAUCAUUCCCAUCAUCCACCUGCAGACACACAGAGCCAAGAACCUGGUGGACACACACACACCUAUCUCCAUGCAGUCAGAUACUCCAGAUGUGCAGAUCUUAUUCACUCUGGACGGGUCCAAGCCGGCGCCGGUGCAGCGGGGGGGGUCAGCGGGCAGCAGCAGGAAGUACAGC